GAUUAUGGCUCAGGACAACGCUGGCGGCGUGCCUAACACAUGCAAGUCGAGCGAUGAAAUCCUUCGGGAUGGAUUAGCGGCGGACGGGUGAGUAACACGUGGGUAACCUGCCUCAAAGAGGGGAAUAGCCUUCCGAAAGGAAGAUUAAUACCGCAUAAUAUGUUUUGGUCGCAUGACCGAAACAUCAAAGGAGCAAUCCGCUUUGAGAUGGACCCGCGGCGCAUUAGCUAGUUGGUGAGGUAACGGCUCACCAAGGCGACGAUGCGUAGCCGACCUGAGAGGGUGAUCGGCCACAUUGGAACUGAGACACGGUCCAGACUCCUACGGGAGGCAGCAGUGGGGAAUAUUGCGCAAUGGGGGAAACCCUGACGCCAGCAACGCCGCGUGAAUGAUGAAGGCCUUCGGGUUGUAAAGUUCUGUCUUCUGGGACGAUAAUGACGGUACCAGAGGAGGAAGCCACGGCUAACUACGUGCCAGCCGCCGC
rnacentral:rRNA from 1 species